CUCUCGAGUUCAAGCAAUUCCCCUGCCUCAGCCUCCUGAGUAGCUAGGACUACAGGCGUGUACCACUACGUGGGCCUGGCUAAUUUUUUGCAUUUUAGUAGAGACAGGGUUUCACCAGGUUGGCCAGGAUGGUCUCGAUCUCCUGACCUCGUGAUCCAUCCGCCUCGACCUCCCAAAGUGCUGGGAUUAUAGAUUUAGGCCUAUUAAAGGAAGGCAGGAAGAACUAAAGGAAGUAAUUGAACGUUUUAAGAAAGAUGAACACUUGGAGAAAGCCUUCAAAUGUUUGACUUCAGGCGAAUGGGCACGGCACUAUUUUCUCAACAAGAAUAAAAUGCAGGAGAAAUUAUUCAAAGAACAUGUAUUUAUUUAUUUGCGAAUGUUUGCAACUGACAGUGGAUUUGAAAUAUUGCCAUGUAAUAGAUACUCAUCAGAACAAAAUGGAGCCAAAAUAGUUGCAACAAAAGAGUGGAAACGAAAUGACAAAAUAGAAUUACUGGUGGGUUGUAUUGCCGAACUUUCAGAAA
rnacentral:sRNA from 1 species